GAUGAACGCUGGCGGCGUGCCUAAUACAUGCAAGUCGAACGCAUUGUGGUUGAAAUGAUAUGAAGAACUUGUUCAGAUUUGAUUUUCAACAUUGCAAUGAGUGGCGAACGGGUGAGUAACACGUGGGAAACCUACCUCUUAGCAGGGGAUAACAUUUGGAAACAAAUGCUAAUACCGUAUAAUAAUUAAAACCGCAUGGUUUUAGUUUAAAAGAUGGUCUUGCUAUCACUAAGAGAUGGUCCCGCGGUGUAUUAGUUAGUUGGUGAGGUAAUGGCUCACCAAGACAAUGAUACAUAGCCGAGUUGAGAGACUGACCGGCCACAAUGGGACUGAGACACGGCCCAUACUCCUACGGGAGGCAGCAGUAGGGAAUCUUCCACAAUGGACGAAAGUCUGAUGGAGCAACGCCGCGUGUGUGAUGAAGGGUUUCGGCUCGUAAACACUGUUGUAAGAGAAGAAUGACAUUGAGAGUAACUGUUCAAUGUGUGACGGUAU
rnacentral:rRNA from 1 species